CCCCAAGCUGAGAGCUCUCCC
rnacentral:miRNA from 1 species